UGAGGGGAAUAGACGAACCGUCGGUAAUUUAUCAUCCGAAGGGGCAUGCGUCCGUUUUGCGGGGUAGGGGCGGGGCGCAGAGCAGAUAUCUAAAGGGCCCAGAUUGAAGUGCGGAGACGACGCAAGAGGGAAAAUGAGCCAGGUGGAUCGAGGACUCGGAAGCCAUCCGUAGGCGCCGGCCUUGCGCAAGAACACUGUACUCGAGGAGGAAAAUGGCGGGAGGGGCUGCGCACCACACCUCCUGGGGGGCCCACGCCCAGCUUAUAUGCCACUCUGACUUACGGCCUUAUUCAAAGUGCUCUCGGAGACAGGUGAAGGGGCCCAGGACAGGAGGAAAUGGACAAGAGACACGGGGAGCCGGCAGGCGGAUCGGUUACGUGUGGGCCCAGGUGUAAACGGACGGCCACGGGGCAUCCAAGACCUGGGGAAGAGCCAGGGGGUUGCGCCCCAGUCUCGGGGCCGGAAACGCCGUGGCCGACUCCGGGUUCCUCGGAAGGGUGUGGGAGCAGAAGAUCCGCUCGGGGAAACCCGGGCUCCCUCCAGCCGGAAGGACGCCAUUCCGGUAUUAUUCCACAGCUAUCUUCACGGCCCGUUCUCCUACACGUACACGGAUCGACCGCAGUCAUCCUCCCGAAUCCUCCUCACGUCCCUGUGGCAGUAAUAUAAAGCGAAAUGCUUUCUCACCCGUACUGUGCGCAUUCUGAUGUUUGCAUCUCCGCCUCGCCCGUGGAGUUGUUGGGAAUCCAAGGAAGCCCGUGACUCGCGACCCCCUAUCUCGGGGCAUUUGGAAAAUGGGGUUCCGAAUGAGACCGUGAUGAUAAAGCCUUCCCUUGCUCCCUUAGGAAAACGCCGGGCUGGCCGGGUACCUCCACGUGGGGAAGGGUGGCUGAAUUUUGGGAUGCCGUUAUUCCUCCUCAGCACCGGAGCCAUCCAAUCCUCCGUGGGGCCCCCGGCGAUAUUGGAAAAGGGUUUUCGUGAGCUGGGAAGGCGAAAGACGAACGAGCCGACAGAGGACGGGUGCUCCUCACUGCUUUCGAAACGAUCUGGGACGAGUAAGGGAGAGUGGAAGCCGAUUCUAGGAGGUUAGAGGAAGAUACGAGAGGAGUGACCGUCAUCCACCAGGCGCGGAAAAGCGCCCGGGGAUUUUGGCCGUACGACUGGCGGCCGCACGGUAUAAGAAACGCUUCGAAACGGAGCCCAGCUGCGUAAGAAUCCAAGCCUUGGUCACCGAGCCACGGUGGGAUCCCGAGGCCCAGGGUGGAAAUAUAUGGGAUCCCUAAGGCGUGGGAUGGAAAUAUGGGAGAUUCCUUAGAAGAGGACUCCGACGUGUGAACAAGGCGACGACAAAAAAAAAGUGGCGACAGAGAGCCUCUAAUAGUCAAUAAAGGCAAAGAAAGGGAAACCAGGAGAAACUCCGGUAACCCGGUUGACGCGGAUUUGGGACCGGGGAGCAUAGGGGCUAAGACUUAGGAAUGCAUUCCCGAGACCCUAGGCUUAACCGACAUUUUAGGGAGGCCCCGGGACCCAGGAGGGACGGGGAAAGAUUACCUCCUUGGCCUUCUUGCAACAAUAACGGUGUGGUGAGCCCACAGCGGGCUGCCUUUUUAGUGACCGUCUGCGAUCUCACGGACGACGGUAAGGACGAGACUUUGCGAAGACAUCGACGGGCUCCACCUGAGUUAGGUGAUGGCCCCCUAUGAGGGCGGAGCGUGGAGGGAGGCUUAGCCUUCUCUCCCCGCUCCACCCGGACCGGUGCCCGUCACAGCCGCCAUGCCUGAGGCAGAUAAAAGGCAAGAAGCAGCACGGAGCGACACGCGGAGGUACGCGCAGAGCACGCACGGCGGCGGCACCGAGACGGAGCAGCGGGAGAGCAGCACUCGGAAGCGGAAAGAAGACGCGCCGGCAGGACGGGCUCCCUCGACCUGCAGACCCGUAUCGGAGCCUUGGAGGAGCGGAGUGAGUGAGAGUGUUUAUGCGUCACCCCCUUGCACGUUGGUAAAGCGAAGUAAGAGACUUCCCACGGUAACCGUGGUGAUCAGAGGCGGGGUUCGACUGUAAUACGUGUCACCGAGGCCACCCCCGGUCCAGGAAGGUCCCGGUCGGUAGGAGCCGGGCGGUGGGGGGCUGGCGACUAAUGGAAUCUGGAUUUUUCACGAAGGGGAAAGCGAAAGGCAACGUCAGGAAUCUGGGUUAGACGCCGGGAGGCCUAGCGGGUCGCACGGAUUUCUUGGGGGAGGGACCCAGGAGCGGGGCAUCUUCUCAGUUGACGAGAGGACCCGAGGUCCACGUAAAACCCCGGCUCUCCGAAUGCUAUUCAGGGGAAACCGAAACAGAUUUAGGCCGAGAAGCUUUGUCAGCCAUGAGGUUCAAAGAGUCCGCGCUAAAGGGACAGCGGUGCGCAAGGGAGAGAUUUAAUUGCUGAGCUUUGUAAAUUAAGAAGGGGUUUAUCUCUCCGCUGCCCUUCGGUUCCUACGGUCUUCUAGACGAAACGUCUACUGGGUUAAGCCCCGCUUGCUGUCUCUAGCCCGGUGAGUGGGCAAGGUCGGAGAAAGUUUGUCACUCUGGGGGAUGCGCAGUCAUGUAUUUUAAAAAAGGGGUCCGUACGUCUGUUUGCCUUUGAAAUCGCGCUUCCUUUCAAUGGGACGGGGAGAAGAUUUGGGCCACAGAUCUCAGAGAUUUGGAAAGGUAAGGGAGGAGAGUAAUCGGAAAUAAUUGUUAAGCUGAUCAGAAUGAUUGCUAACCGGUAUCGGGCAAGAGAUGUAAUUUCAAAUUUUAUCAGUCGGGUCUGGCUAUGGGAGGCCGUUGUGAACUUAUCUAAUCGUUUUAUGCUUCAAGAUUGCAUCUUUCUAGAUUUUAGUCCAGGUGGACACACGGCUUCCGGGCAGGGCCAGCAAAGGGAUCGUCUCUCAACCGCUUCCCGGAGGGCCUGUCUUCAGGCUGAGCCACGAUGCGAAAGGGACAGGGACGCGGCCCCACCGGACCCCCCGAUCCAGAGACUUCGGGCGUCGAGAAUCGUCCGGAUAGAGACGGGGACCCGGAGAUCGUAAGGAGGUCGUUCUGUGUUGGACGGAUCGUCGUACGUAGCUGUCGGGACGGUCUUUUGAUAACGGUAAAGGGAGAGCGACCAGACACCCCGUGAGGAAUAGCCUUUCAGACUAUCCUUCCCUCGGCCCCCCUUUCGGUUUCCUGUAGGGGAGUGUUGGCGGGGACGGAGAGAUGCCGUCAACCAGUCGAAAGAGCGAGGAAAGUUUAUUGAAGAUAACAAUAAUAACUGUGAAGUUUAAGCACUUUCUAGGUACCAGGCACUGUACAAGCGCUGGGGCGCAAACAGGCUUGUUGGUGGGGACAGAGAGAGUCUGUGAACCAGUCGAAAGCGUGAAGAAAGUUUAUUAAUAAUAAUAAUAACUGUGAUAUUUGUUAAGCACUUACUAGGCACCAGGCACUGCAGAUGCGCUGGGGCGGAAACAAGCAAACGGGGUUAGACGCGGUCCCCCCCGCCGUGGGGCUCACAGUCUCAACCCCCAUUUUACAGGUGAGGCGACCGAGGCGCAGAGAAGCGACCGAGGCAGCAGACGCGCGGCGGAGCUGGGAUCAGAACCCGUGACCUUCCGACUGCCAGGCAGGCGUCCCCCCCGCCUCCCGUUUUAGUAGCCCCUCUGAUAACGUAACCCAAAUCGGGAGGUCCGGCUCAAUCAGCGGGCCCGAGACCACCGGCGGCGGAGGAGGAGAUUGAAUCGAGCCCUGCAUCCCAUCACCCUUCUGUGGUUACCACGGGCAACGGCGUAUCGUGUUUCUUUGACGUCGGACCCGUCACGAGGUGCGCACGCGAAUGCCAAGGAUGUUUAACAGACCACGCCCCACCACUUGGUCGCCCCUCUCCCAGGCCCGGGGGAACCACAGGUUGGACGCGGAAGCCCACGACGCUGGCGGUCACCCCGGCGAUCGGAGUCCGAGGGGCGGUCGGACGCCGAAUGCGCCGGGUCCCGAGGCCCGGGCGCCAUUUCGUUUGGGCCGAGACGUCCCCUGCUCGAAGCAGGGACGGCAGGGACGCCCCCGGGCCCGGGCUAGAAGAUGUCGGCGACGUGCUCAACUGCAGCUGCCGACCCCGCGGGGCUGUGGACCCCGAGGGGGCCGGAUCGACUUCACCCGUCCCGAGGAAUCCCCCCCGCACCCCUGUGCCGUAACAUCGUAGAGCCGGACGCCGCCUCAACCCCGUCGUCGCGAUUUCUGCGUCUCCGUCUCACGCCGGCAGUACUUCAGAAUCCAGGGCGACGGAACCGAAACUCUUAUGCAAUCGGCUAUCUGCGCCCUCCGCUGCCCCGCGACGCAUUAACAGAUAAGGAAGUAGCAAAAUCGAGAUGGCCGGCAUUUCCGGGAGACGGUCACCCGACGUCUUCGACGUCCGACUUCAGACCGAACCGGAAAUCUCCGGAGCUGAGGCGUUACCUAUUCCUCAGGGUGACUGUUGGGAAGAGACCAGGGGCUCCACCGUCCGGCACCUGGAGUAACUCCAUGUAUAAUAAUAAUAAUAACGUUGGUAUUC